UUAACAGGUUGGAGCUGGGUCUUUCUCUGGUUUGACCUGGAGGGACUGACUGCUUUCCCUUGGUGGCUGUUUCUACCUUGUCUUUCUCAUCCUAUAGGCUUACCUGCUGGCUUAUUGUCAUCUACUGAGCUUCCUGAUGUGAUCCUGAAUCAUCUGGGCCAUCUGUCUGAAAUGUGCCCUGUACCUCCACUUCAUCUUAUUGAUGCGAAUUCCCCAAGAAGUACGUCCAAUGCACGUACAAUGGAGGUGAAGCAAAGACUCCAAGACUUGAACACCCCAAAAAUGAUGACAGCAAAAAAAGCAAAUGCAGAUAGUGGAAGAGGCCUGGACAGAAUCAUUUGGAGCGAUUGAACACGAUGGAAAAGCAUUAUGUAUUCUGGGUAAUGAUGUGCCCAUCAGGUGUCAGACAGCUCUUUGACACCAACCACAAAAGGGUUGCCAAACUUAACGAAACUGAAAGCACAGAUGCAAUCACGUAAAGCUAGCGGUCAUUUUGC
rnacentral:lncRNA from 1 species